UGGGGAAUAUUGCGCAAUGGGCGAAAGCCUGACGCAGCAACGCCGUGUGAGGGAUGAAGGCUUUCGGGUCGUAAACCUCUGUCGGAGGGAAGAACGGGUGAGGGUCUAAUAGGCCUUCAUUUUGACGGUACCUUUAGAGGAAGCACCGGCUAACUCCGGGCCAGCAGCCGCGGUAAUACGGAGGGUGCAAGCGUUAUUCGGAAUUACUGGGCGUAAAGCGCACGUAGGCCGCUUUGUAAGUCAGGGGUGAAAUCCCACGGCUCAACCGUGGAACUGCCCUUGAAACUGCGAAGCUUGAAUCCUGGAGAGGGUGGCGGAAUUCCUGGUGUAGGAGUGAAACCCGUAGAUAUCAGGAGGAACACCGGUGGCGAAGGCGGCCACCUGGACAGGCAUUGACGCUGAGGUGCGAAAGUGCGGGGAGCAAACAG
rnacentral:rRNA from 1 species